GUCUGACCCGGCCACGGACCGCGCUGCUUGCCCGAGACUGCACACCCCGACAGCCCUCCCGUCCCUUUGGGGGACAGCGCCAACCCCCAGAGCCACUGUCCCCACCUCCCUGCACCCCCAAAGCCCAGCCUGUGGUUCCCAUCGUUAAUGGCAAUAACAAACCUGGAGUGACUUGGCUUCCCUCAUGCCACAGAAGUGACACCAGAUCAAGCUCAGCUGGUGGAAAACCCCCUCCACGUCCGUGCACUGCCUGGCACAGCCACUCCUAGGGACCUCAGGGAGCCCAGGGAUGAAAGAGCUACUCCCAAAUGUGGCACCCAUCAGCAUCCCAGGACAGAAACAUGCCUGUCUCUUACAACUUAUAAUACUUAAUACUUAUAGUAUAUAAUGCACACUACAAGUCGAAUUUAAAUUGCUCCUCUGCUAGCAAAUAGCUCUUCACUCAUGUCCAGCAUCACCUCAGGGAUUAUUUGGAAAGGAUGCAGUAAUUUUAUUUGUGAAUUAAAGAAUUAAUUUGGUAUUUAUUUUAUAAACUAGGCUUAUUUUUGGUUUAAGACAAAAAGAAUUGUCGUAAUGAAUCUGCUGAGAUGAGCUCCAUGUAAGCAUCUCCACUUCCUUGCAGAUGCCAAAAUCUCUAGAUAAUUUAUGGUAAUGUUUGUCUAAAGGCCGUGGUGGAAGAUGAACCUCUUGGAUUUGUUUUUCCGUCUUUAUACAACCUGCCUGCCUCCAAAAUUUUUAAUAAUUGCCAAACUGCUGUUAUCUCAGCAUUAUUUUUAUACAAGUUUUUCUACGUCUGGCCCUCAGCUGAACUCAGCCAGGAACAAGCUCACCUCUGGCUGCUGGGUUUGUAGCUUCAGACAUGGACUCAGUGCCCAUGGACAGAGCUGGGGAACCUGCUCCCUGCAACGCUGCUCUCUGUGCUGGCACUGUGAGCGCUACAGAGGCAGAAGCAGCUUCUUCACCCUCCCACCCAAAUUCCACUGCUUUCAUUGCUUUUUUCUCCCGAUUCAAUGACUGCUGGCCUUUGUCUCGUAGUCUGGCAGAGCCUGGCGCCACACACAUCAGAGAGACAAAGAAACAGGCUGGCUUGUCUCUCUGAGCCUGGUAUGAAGAGCCCACAUUGUGUUUUACCACAGAGAGGGAGACAGGCAGAGGGCUGAAGUGUUUUGCUCGGCCUUGGGCACUGUAAAACCCCCUUGUUUCUUUAAAAACAUCAGCCCAAAGUGCUGGCCAGGAAGCACUGACUCUGAGGAAAGGAGCCCCAAGGUCACACUCUCCUGAUCAAAGAUCAGGACACGAAUUUUAAAAUAACAGAAGUGGCUCUUUGCGCAGCACUGAAAGCACAGCCAGCUCACAGCCCCCCACCCAUGCCCAGACCUCCUGGACUGUCACUGGCUGGGUCAGGGAUGACCCAGGAGACCAGUGUUUGCCAGGAUAUGAGCCUGGACAAGGAUCAGGGAAGUCCCUUGGAGCUGCUCAUUAGCAGAGUCAGGAAAGGAGCAAGGUUUUUGGUGUUCCCACCUGAUCCUACUGCUCCUUCCCACUUAUCAGCAGAUCAUUCCAGACUACACCUGUAAAAUAGAGAAGUCAGAAUGAUUUGGGGGUGAAAUGGACAGUAAGAAUCAUCAGGGAAGGGUAUUUCAAGACUGUUUGCGUUUUGAUCUGUCAAAUGCUAAUUUUUCUGUUCCAUUUUAAUGAAAGGUCACUUUCCAGAAUGACAUCAGAAAAUGGUUUAAAGAAGCUGAGCUAGGACCUCAUCUCUGACUAGAAAUUAUGUGCUUUAAUGCAUUUCUUGGCUAAGGACCGAGCUAACAGAUCUACCAGAACAAAUUGCCAUCAGCAGAGAAAAAUAGUGUUUCUUUCCUGCUGACAGAGAGCCCCAUUUAUAGCCAGCUCUUACAUGAAUGCAAAUAUCCAUGGAAAAAAUCAAAUAGUGUAAGACUGUUGACAAACUACCUCUGCACUAGAAACACCAUUGCCUAAAAGCAUCCCUGCUGUCCCUGCCAGUCCAACCAGAGCACAGAUAACUGGUGUAGUUUGCAAUGCCAUAAAUGCAAGAAUUUCAGGGGCCAGAUAAAUAUUUAGAGUCAACGUACUCAGACUUAAUGCUAGGGAAAUUAUUUUUCCCAAACCAGUGUUUGAACCUGUUACAAAAGCUUCCAUGAGCUGAUGUAAACAAAUGAUCAAUGUAGAUGGGUUUCUUUCACACCAGUACAUGAAAAAGUUUUUAAGUAACAUGGUAGGUGGUGUCUCAGUAGAUUUGGGGAACGCAGGAACUGCCAGGAAAUGUGUCUGUCCAGCAACCUGGUCUUGCCUCUUCAAAGGGACUUUUUUUUUUUUUUUUUAAGAGGUCCAGACCUUCAUCCCACCCCCCAAGCAUAUGUAUAAGGCUCUUAACCUUUCCACAUUUCUCUGCAGGAGCUGAGUGUGGCAACAAAAUGGGCUCUUCAUCAUGGGCACUGUUCACCCGUCUUCUUAGUUAGCAGGAGUGCUGCGUUCGGAGUCACACUGAGCCUGAAAUCCAACAAAGGCCUCCGGCAUAAAGCAGUUACUGAUCGAGUGCCAGAUCGAGUGCUGAACUGAAAAAGGUGUAAAUGGCAACAUGCCACAACAGUAACAUCAGACAGCUUUAACUUUGGCUCAUACCAUCUUAUUCCUGGGAAACAGCGUGACUUCGCAACGAAAUACAGUGAAACUUGCUUUCUUCA